rfam:Erinaceus europaeus unplaced genomic scaffold scaffold00464, whole genome shotgun sequence
GGAUGUGAGGGCGAUCUGGCUGCGACAUCUGUCACCCUAUUGAUCGCCAGGGUUGAUUCGGUUGAUCUGGCUGGCUAGGCGGGUGUCCCCUUCCUCCCUCACCACUCCAUGUGUGUGUGUGUCCUUCUCGAAGCUGCGCCCUCGGUCAAAGAGGAUGGCCUUCUCCAAAUAGAGUCGGACUCAUCUUCAGUCGAGGGUGUAUGAGUAGCUGCGAUCUCCUGCUAGAACCUCCAAACAAGAAAUAGGGCAGUAACACAGCGGGUUAAGCGCAUGUGGCACAAAGCACAAGGACCAGCUCAAGGAUCCCAGUUUGAGCCCCCAGCUCCCCACCUGCAGGGGAGUUGCUUCACAAGCGGUGAAGCAGGUCUGC